rnacentral:rRNA from 1 species
AUUCUUUACACUCAUUAAAGAUGAUACCUGCCCAGUGGACAUUAAUAAUAAAUUUAAUAAUUUUUAAAUGGUUUAAACGGCCGCUGUAUUCUGACGGUGAUAAUGUAGGAAAAUAAAUAGUUGUUUAAUUGGCGAACGUAGGUGAAUGGUUCUACGAGAGUUUCACUGUCUUAAAUGUAAGAAGAAAAAUUUAAAUAAUAGUGAAGAUGCUAUUUUAAACUGUAAGACGAAAAGACCCUAUAAAGCUUAACUAUUAUUCUAUUAAAAAGUAUUUUAUAGAUUAUAUAUAUAUAUAUAUUGAUACAAGUAGGAAAGAUAGUUUUGUUGGGGCAACAGCAUUCUAAAAAAAAAGAAUGUAAAUUUAAAUUAACUAAAUAAUUUAUUUUAUUGUUUAAUGUAUAAAUUUAACAAUCACAAAGUGGAUUAUAAUGACCUAUCCUUAAAAAAAAAUUUUUAAGGAUAAUAAAUAAAUAAAAGCUACUUUAGGGAUAACAGGUUAAUUUAAUCUUAAAGAAGGCAUUGAAGAUUAAGUUUGACACCUCGAUGUUGAAUUAAGGUUACCUAGUAAGGCAGUUUUUACUAAAGGUUGGUCUGUUCGACCAUUAAUACCUUA